rnacentral:rRNA from 1 species
UACGGAGGGUGCGAGCGUUGUCCGGAAUCACUGGGCGUAAAGGGCGCGUAGGCGGCAGGCCAAGCGUGCGGUGAAAGUCCGGGGCUCAACCCCGGAUCUGCCGUGCGGACUGGUUUGCUAGAGCACUGUAGAGGCGAGUGGAAUUCCGGGUGUAGCGGUGGAAUGCGUAGAGAUCCGGAAGAACACCGGUGGCGAAGGCGGCUCGCUGGGCAGUGGCUGACGCUGAGGCGCGAAAGCGUGGGGAGCAAACAGG